ACAAUUCGAUUUUAAAUCCUACGCUGCUGGCCAGUUUCAAAGUAACUAACUCGAAAUCCUCAAAAAUCUCACCCUUCUCCACCGUCAUCUCUCUACUCAAAAUUAUAAAAAUAUUAAUUGUUUAUUUCAAUAAUAAAUAAGAUAUUUUUGGAUGAUGCGUUAUUUUAUUUUUCUUUUCAAUACAAUUUAAUUCUAUUUUUUAUUUUCAUUCUCUUAAGAGAGAACAAUUU
rnacentral:lncRNA from 1 species